GUGGGGAAUAUUGGACAAUGGGGGGAACCCUGAUCCAGCCAUGCCGCGUGUGUGAAGAAGGUCUUCGGAUUGUAAAGCACUUUAAGUUGGGAGGAAGGGCAGUAAGUUAAUACCUUGCUGUUUUGACGUUACCGACAGAAUAAGCACCGGCUAACUUCGUGCCAGCAGCCGCGGUAAUACGAAGGGUGCAAGCGUUAAUCGGAAUUACUGGGCGUAAAGCGCGCGUAGGUGGUUUUGUAAGUUGGAGGUGAAAUCCCCGGGCUCAACCUGGGAACUGCCUCCAAAACUGCAUGACUAGAGUACGGUAGAGGGUAGUGGAAUUUCCUGUGUAGCGGUGAAAUGCGUAGAUAUAGGAAGGAACACCAGUGGCGAAGGCGACUACCUGGACUGAUACUGACACUGAGGUGCGAAAGCGUGGGGAGCAAACAGGAUUAGAUACCCCAGUAGUCC
rnacentral:rRNA from 1 species